rnacentral:lncRNA from 1 species
AAGGUCGACUUUAUCUAAUUUUUGGACUAUUAGGUUCAAAUCAAUCUUAGGACUAGAAUCUGAAUAUUUGAUCUUAUAGAAUGAUGGAAACAUCAAUGGAUUAUAGGUGGAAGGUAUAAAAUAUUCUUUCAUCUGCCUAAGUGGUUCUCAAGAUUUUCCAGCCAUUUGAUUAUUAGGUUUAACAUGGAUCAACCGUUCAAAUUUAAAAUUAGGUUCAACU